GAUGAAGAACGCAGCGAAAUGCGAUAAGUAAUGUGAAUUGCAGAAUUCAGUGAAUCAUCGAAUCUUUGAACGCACAUUGCGCCCCUCGGUAUUCCGAGGGGCAUGCCUGUUCGAGCGUCAUUAUAACCCUUCAAGCUCAGCUUGGUGUUGGGGCCUGCUGUAACUGGUAGCCCUUAAAAUCAGUGGCAGUGCUAUUAGGCUCUAAGCGUAGUAAUUCUUCUCGCUAUAGUGUGUAGUGAGCGCUUGCCAGAACCCCAAUCUUUUAUAUGAUUGACCUCGGAUCAGGUAGGGAUACCCGCUGAACUUAAGCAUAUCAAUAAGCGGAGGA
rnacentral:misc_RNA from 1 species